rnacentral:rRNA from 3 species
GACGGAGGGUGCAAACGUUGUUCGGAAUCACUGGGCAUAAAGAGCACGUAGGCUGCGCGCUAAGUCAGGUGUGAAAUCCCCCGGCUCAACCGGGGAACUGCACCUGAUACUGGCGUGCUCGAGGACGGUAGGGGUGAGUGGAACUCCAGGUGGAGCGGUGAAAUGCGUAGAUAUCUGGAGGAACACCGGUGGCGAAAGCGGCUCACUGGACCGUCUCUGACGCUGAGGUGCGAAAGCUAGGGUAGCAAACGGG